rnacentral:lncRNA from 1 species
UUCUAUAGAAUCAGCACCCAUCUUUGAGUCAGAGUUUGAGAUGCAAAUCCUUUACUGUAUAGCCUUGAUCAAAUGACUUCACCUCAUUGAAUUAAUCUUCUUCUGCAUAAAAUGGGGUCACCAUCUGCUUAUCUAAAUUGUUACAAAUGGGACAGUAUAUGUGCCAUUCCAGAUACCUAAUCACAGCUCAAUCGAUGCUGGUGUCUUUUUCCUUUUUCCUUCUGCAGAAAACAUGCUUUACAUAGGAUCUCUGAACUUAAAGAAUGGGAAGAAGAAAAAUCAUGUUUCCAGCUUGGGCUGCUGUUUCAUCUGUUGGACUUGCUUGCCCGAAAGUAAACAAGGAACAAGGGGCAAGGAGACAGAGAGAGAUGGGGAAAUGUCCUCACCAACAGCCCUGCUGCAGUGAAAAUCCCUGAAUGGAAAGGAAUGCUAUGCACACUUUUUGGAUACAGGAAGUGAGAUUCAGAGGGGUUAAACAGCUUUCCUAAAGCCACACAGCGAGAGAGUCGAUCUGAACUGAAGAUUGUUUGACAUCAAAGCUCAUUUCUUUCCCUAAAUGUCAGCAUUCUUUCCUGACUUAUUAAUUUGAUUUCUGUCCUCCCCUCAUG